GCACAAGCGGUGGAGCAUGUGGUUUAAUUCGAUGCAACGCGCAGAACCUUACCUCGGCUUGACAUGCACGUGGUACUGACCCGAAAGGGAAGGGACCCGCGAGGGAGCGUGCACAGAUGCUGCAUGGCUGUCGUCAGCUCGUGCCGUGAGGUGUUGGGUUAAGUCCCGCAACGAGCGCAACCCUUGUCCUUAGUUGCUCUUUCUAAGGAGACCGCCGGUCUAAACCGGAGGAAGGUGGGGAUGACGUCAAGUCAGCACGGCUCUUACGUCGAGGGCUACACACACGCUACAAUGGCCGGUACAACGGGCUGCGAAGGGGCGACCUGGAGCUAAUCCCACCAAAGCCGGUCUCAGUUCGGAUUGCAGGCUGCAACUCGCCUGCAUGAAGUCGGAGUUGCUAGUAACUGCCAGUCAGCACAUGGCGGUGAAUACGUUCCCGGGC
rnacentral:rRNA from 1 species